GGCCGUGUCCCAGAAUCUGCCGAAGAUGAGGAGGUAAGCUCACAGGGAAAUGCUCGGAUCUGGCUUGGGAGCGUUGCUGUCUCCCUACGCCUGGGAAGGCAGUGAAAAAGGAGACCGGUAAAAUUCUCUCAGGCCGUCGUACGUUAACUCGCGGAGAACUUUAGACGCUCCACGUAUCAGCAUGGUAAAUUUAUUAUUCAGAGAGUUUUG
rnacentral:lncRNA from 1 species